CUUGACCUCAAAUCAGGUAG
rnacentral:rRNA from 1 species